rnacentral:rRNA from 1 species
GCUGGCGGCGUGCUUAACACAUGCAAGUCGAGCGGUAAGGCCCUUUCGGGGGUACACGAGCGGCGAACGGGUGAGUAACACGUGGGUGACCUGCCCUCAGCUCUGGGAUAAGCCUGGGAAACUGGGUCUAAUACCGGAUAUGACUCCAUGACGCAUGUCGGUGGGGUGGAAAGCCUUGUGCGGCUGGGGAUGGGCCCGCGGCCUAUCAGCUUGGUUGGGUGGGGUGAUGGCCUACCAAGGCGACGGACGGGUAGCCGGCCUGAGAGGGCGACCGGCCACACUGGGACUGAGACACGGCCCAGACUCCUACGGGAGGCAGCAGUGGGGAAUCUUGCGCAAUGGGACGAAAGCCUGACGCAGCGACGCCGCGUGAGGAUGACG